rnacentral:rRNA from 1 species
AAUGGGCGAAGCCUGAUGCAGCGACGCCGCGUGAGGGAUGACGGCCUUCGGGUUGUAAACCUCUUUCAGCAGGGAAGAAGCGAAAGUGACGGUACCUGCAGAAGAAGCGCCGGCUAACUACGUGCCAGCAGCCGCGGUAAUACGUAGGGCGCGAGCGUUGUCCGGAAUUAUUGGGCGUAAAGAGCUCGUAGGCGGCUUGUCGCGUCGGUUGUGAAAGCCCGGGGCUUAACCCCGGGUCUGCAGUCGAUACGGGCAGGCUAGAGUUCGGUAGGGGAGAUCGGAAUUCCUGGUGUAGCGGUGAAAUGCGCAGAUAUCAGGAGGAACACCGGUGGCGAAGGCGGAUCUCUGGGCCGAUACUGACGCUGAGGAGCGAAAGCGUGGGGAGCGAACAGGAUUAGAUACCCUGGUAGUCCACGCCGUAAACGGUGGGCACUAGGUGUGGGCGACAUUCCACGUCGUCCGUGCCGCAGCUAACGCAUUAAGUGCCCCGCCUGGGGAGUACGGCCGCAAGGCUAAAACUCAAAUGAAUUGACGGAUC